AAAAAAAAAUAAAACCCUAGUUUGCCUAAACCAAGCCCCAACCCCCUCUGUCCCUCUCGUUGUAUCUCAUAUCUCCCCUCCCCCUCAUCCCCGGCUUCGAUUCUCUUAUCUCAGCUAUCUCCCUCUACAACUGUGUCUGCAAGCAAGAUCUCGGCCACAAACACCUCCUCCUUUCGACGACAACGUCGACAACAGAGUGACUCUUCUUCUCUGGUCUCCGUCUUCUGUAAUCCUUCACGCUACGCAGGCUGAAUCCAACAGGUGGGGUGACUAUAAAAUUCAAAUCCUAGCGCCAUUUAAAUCUGCAGACUUGGAUGAAGUGACAAAUGGCUACAUUACAUUCCUUGAGUGGCUCAACUGAUAUGAGAAACUCAAAGUGACGAAGGUUCUUCUUGUGAGAUUAAAUUUUUAACCUCUACUCACACCUCAAUUGCAAAGGGAAGAAGAAGUUGCUUGAAGAAUUCAUCAUCGAUCAAGUCAAGUUAUGAUAUUAUAGGGUUUCAUUUUUUACUCAAGUUAUUAUUAUUAGAUUUUCUAGUUUUGUAUUAUAAAUGUUAUAAGAUUGAUUAUUCAUAUUUAUUCCAAUUUUUUUUUUU